UACAGAGGGUGCAAGCGUUGUUCGGAAUUAUUGGGCGUAAAGGGAGUGUAGGCGGCUGUGUAAGUCUUGUGUGAAAUCUACGGGCUUAACCUGUUAAAGUGCACAAGAUACUGCACGGCUAGAGUGUCGGAGAGGAUAGUGGAAUUCCCGGUGUAGAGGUGAAAUUCGUAGAGAUCGGGAGGAACACCAGUGGCGAAGGCGACUGUCUGGCUGACAACUGACGCUGAGACUCGAAAGCAUGGGGAGCAAACAGG
rnacentral:rRNA from 1 species